rnacentral:rRNA from 1 species
CGUGUAGGCGGCCUCUUAAGUCUGAUGUGAAAGCCCGGGGCUUACCCCCGGAAGUGCAUUGGAGACUGGGAGGCUCGAGUACCGGAGAGGAGGGUGGAAUUCCUGGUGUAGCGGUGAAAUGCGUAGAUAUCAGGAGGAACACCGGUGGCGAAGGCGGCCCUCUGGACGGAUACUGACACUGAGACGCGAAAGCGUGGGGAGCAAACAGGAUUAGAUACCCUGGUAGUCCACGCUGUAAACGAUGGGCACUAGGUGUUCGGGGUAUUGACCCCUGAGUGCCGCAGCUAACGCAUUAAGUGCCCCGCCUGGGGACUACGGCCGCAAGGUUAAA